rnacentral:rRNA from 1 species
GACGAACGCUGGCGGCGUGCUUAACACAUGCAAGUCGAACGGAAAGGCCCUGCUUUUGUGGGGUGCUCGAGUGGCGAACGGGUGAGUAACACGUGAGUAACCUGCCCUUGACUUUGGGAUAACUUCAGGAAACUGGGGCUAAUACCGGAUAGGAGCUCCUGCUGCAUGGUGGGGGUUGGAAAGUUUCGGCGGUUGGGGAUGGACUCGCGGCUUAUCAGCUUGUUGGUGGGGUAGUGGCUUACCAAGGCUUUGACGGGUAGCCGGCCUGAGAGGGUGACCGGCCACAUUGGGACUGAGAUACGGCCCAGACUCCUACGGGAGGCAGCAGUGGGGAAUAUUGCACAAUGGGCGGAAGCCUGAUGCAGCAACGCCGCGUGCGGGAUGACGGCCUUCGGGUGGUAAACCGCUUUCGCCUGUGACGAAGCGUGAGUGACGGUAAUGGGUAAGGAAGCACCGGCUAACUACGU